CCUAUGGGCGGCAGCAGUGGGGAAUAUUGGACAAUGGGCGAAAGCCUGAUCCAGCCAUGCCGCGUGUGUGAAGAAGGCCUUCGGGUUGUAAAGCACUUUCAGUGGGGAAGAAAGCCUUGGGGCUAAUACCCUCGAGGAAGGACAUCACCCACAGAAGAAGCACCGGCUAACUCCGUGCCAGCAGCCGCGGUAAUACGGAGGGUGCGAGCGUUAAUCGGAAUUACUGGGCGUAAAGCGCGCGUAGGCGGUCUGAUAAGCCGGUUGUGAAAGCCCCGGGCUCAACCUGGGAACGGCAUCCGGAACUGUCAGGCUAGAGUGCAGGAGAGGAAGGUAGAAUUCCCGGUGUAGCGGUGAAAUGCGUAGAGAUCGGGAGGAAUACCAGUGGCGAAGGCGGCCUUCUGGACUGACACUGACGCUGAGGUGCGAAAGCGUGGGUAGCAAACAGGAUUAGAUACCCUAGUAGUC
rnacentral:rRNA from 1 species